rnacentral:rRNA from 1 species
AAGGAUCAUUACCGAGUGCGGGUCCUUUGGGCCCAACCUCCCAUCCGUGUCUAUUGUACCCUGUUGCUUCGGCGGGCCCGCCGCUUGUCGGCCGCCGGGGGGGCGCCUCUGCCCCCCGGGCCCGUGCCCGCCGGAGACCCCAACACGAACCCUGUCUGAAAGCGUGCAGUCUGAGUCGAUUGUUUGCAAUCAGUUAAAACUUUCAACAAUGGAUCUCUUGGUUCCGGCAUCGAUGAAGAACGCAGCGAAAUGCGAUAACUAAUGUGAAUUGCAGAAUUCAGUGAAUCAUCGAGUCUUUGAACGCACAUUGCGCCCCCUGGUAUUCCGGGGGGCAUGCCUGUCCGAGCGUCAUUGCUGCCCUCAAGCCCGGCUUGUGUGUUGGGUCGCCGUCCCCUCUCUCCGGGGGGACGGGCCCGAAAGGCAGCGGCGGCACCGCGUCCGAUCCUCGAGCGUAUGGGGCUUUGUCACAUGCUCUGUAGGAUUGGCCGGCGCCUGCCGACGUUUUCCAACCAUUCUUUCCAGGUUGACCUCGGAUCAGGUAGGGAUACCCGCUGAACUUAA